GAUGAACGCUGGCGGCGUGCUUAACACAUGCAAGUCGAACGAAGUGUUUAUUCAAAGUUCUUCGGGAUAGAGAAUAAAUUACUUAGUGGCGGACGGGUGAGUAACGCGUGGGUAACCUGCCUUACACAGGGGGAUAACAGUUGGAAACGACUGCUAAUACCGCAUAAGACCACAGCACCGCAUGGUGCAGGGGUAAAAGAUUUAUCGGUGUGAGAUGGACCUGCGUCUGAUUAGAUAGUUGGUGGGGUAGAAGCCUACCAAGUCAACGAUCAGUAGCCGACCUGAGAGGGUGAUCGGCCACAUUGGGACUGAGACACGGCCCAAACUCCUACGGGAGGCAGCAGUGGGGAAUAUUGGACAAUGGGGGAAACCCUGAUCCAGCAACGCCGCGUGAGUGAAGAAGUAUUUCGGUAUGUAAAGCUCUAUCAGCAGGGAAGAAAAUGACGGUACCUGACUAAGAAGCCCCGGCUAACUACGUG
rnacentral:rRNA from 1 species